UACGUAGGAGGCGAGCGUUAAUCGGAAUUACUGGGCGUAAAGCGUGCGCAGGCGGUUGUGCAAGACCGAUGUGAAAUCCCCGGGCUUAACCUGGGAAUGGCAUUGGUGACUGCACGGCUAGAGUGUGUCAGAGGGGGGUAGAAUUCCACGUGUAGCAGUGAAAUGCGUAGAGAUGUGGAGGAAUACCGAUGGCGAAGGCAGCCCCCUGGGAUAACACUGACGCUCAUGCACGAAAGCGUGGGGAGCAAACAGG
rnacentral:rRNA from 1 species